UCUCCUGGAGUUGAGCUGCUUAGUGGCCUA
rnacentral:piRNA from 1 species